CGAACGCUGGCGGCGUGCUUAACACAUGCAAGUCGAACGGUGAACACGGAGCUUGCUCUGUGGGAUCAGUGGCGAACGGGUGAGUAACACGUGAGCAACCUGCCCCUGACUCUGGGAUAAGCGCUGGAAACGGCGUCUAAUACUGGAUAUGUGACGUGACCGCAUGGUCUGCGUCUGGAAAGAAUUUCGGUUGGGGAUGGGCUCGCGGCCUAUCAGCUUGUUGGUGAGGUAAUGGCUCACCAAGGCGUCGACGGGUAGCCGGCCUGAGAGGGUGACCGGCCACACUGGGACUGAGACACGGCCCCA
rnacentral:rRNA from 1 species